rnacentral:rRNA from 1 species
CCUACGGGAGGCAGCAGUGAGGAAUAUUGGUCAAUGGACGCAAGUCUGAACCAGCCAUGCCGCGUGCAGGAAGACGGCUCUAUGAGUUGUAAACUGCUUUUGUACGAGGGUAAACGCAGAUACGCGUCUCUGUCUGAAAGUAUCGUACGAAUAAGGCUCGGCUAACUCCGUGCCAGCAGCCGCGGUAAUACGGAGGAUUCAAGCGUUAUCCGGAUUUAUUGGGUGUAAAGGGUGCGUAGGCGGUCGGAUAAGUUAGAGGUGAAAGCCCGAGGCUCAACUUCGGAAUUGCCUUUGAUACUGUUCGGCUAGAGAGGAGGUGCGGUAGGCGGAAUGCAUGGUGUAGCGGUGAAAUGCUUAGAGAUCAUACAGAACACCGAUUGCGAAGGCAGCUUACCAGGCUACAUCUGACGUUGAGGCACGAAAGCGUGGGGAGCAAACAGGAUUAGAUACCCUGGUAGUC